rnacentral:rRNA from 1 species
CUACGGAUUGUAAACUUCUUUUAUAAGGGAAUAAACCCUCCCACGUGUGGGAGCUUGUAUGUACCUUAUGAAUAAGCAUCGGCUAACUCCGUGCCAGCAGCCGCGGUAAUACGGAGGAUGCGAGCGUUAUCCGGAUUUAUUGGGUUUAAAGGGAGCGCAGACGGGUCGUUAAGUCAGCUGUGAAAGUUUGGGGCUCAACCUUAAAAUUGCAGUUGAUACUGGCGUCCUUGAGUGCGGUUGAGGUGUGCGGAAUUCGUGGUGUAGCGGUGAAAUGCUUAGAUAUCACGAAGAACUCCGAUUGCGAAGGCAGCACACUAAUCCGUAACUGACGUUCAUGCUCGAAAGUGUGGGUAUCAAACAGGAUUAGAUACCCUGGUAGUCCACACGGUAAACGAUGGAUACUCGCUGUUGGCGAUAUACUGUCAGCGGCUUAGCAAAGCGUU